GACGAACCGUGCGAACGUUAUUCGGAAUCACUGGGCUUAAAGCGCGUGUAGGCGGGCGGGCACGUCCGUUGCUGAAAUCCCCCGGCUCAACCGGGGAACGGGCGCGGAUACGACCUUCCUGGAGGGGCGUAGGGGGACCUGGAACUUCCGGUGGAGCGGUGAAAUGCGUAGAGAUCGGAAAGAACACCAACGGCGAAAGCACUCUGCUGGGCCGACACUGACACUGAGAGACGAAAGCUAGGGGAGCGAACGGG
rnacentral:rRNA from 1 species